rnacentral:rRNA from 1 species
UACGGAGGGAGCUAGCGUUAUUCGGAAUUACUGGGCGUAAAGGGUGCGUAGGCGGGUCUUUUAAGUCAGGGGUGAAAUCCUGGAGCUCAACUCCAGAACUGCCUUUGAUACUGAAGAUCUUGAGUUCGGGAGAGGUGAGUGGAACUGCGAGUGUAGAGGUGAAAUUCGUAGAUAUUCGCAAGAACACCAGUGGCGAAGGCGGCUCACUGGCCCGAUACUGACACUGAGGUGCGAAAGCGUGGGGAGCAAACAGG